rnacentral:rRNA from 1 species
AGGACGAACGCUGGCGGCGUGCUUAACACAUGCAAGUCGAGCGGAAAGGCCCUUCGGGGUACUCGAGCGGCGAACGGGUGAGUAACACGUGAGUAAUCUGCCCCUAGCUCUGGGAUAGCUCCGGGAAACCGGAAUUAAUACCGGAUAUGACCUAGGCCGACAUCGGCCGUGGUGGAAAGUUUUUCGGCUAGGGAUGGACUCGCGGCCUAUCAGCUAGUUGGUGGGGUAAUGGCCUACCAAGGCGACGACGGGUAGCCGGCCUGAGAGGGCGACCGGCCACACUGGGACUGAGACACGGCCCAGACUCCUACGGGAGGCAGCAGUGGGGAAUCUUGCGCAAUGGGCGAAAGCCUGACGCAGCGACGCCGCGUGGGGGAUGAAGGCCCUCGGGUUGUAAACCCCUUUCAGCAGGGACGAAGCGAAAGUGACGGUACCUGCAGAAGAAGCGCCGGCUAACUACGCGCCAGCAGCCGC